rnacentral:rRNA from 1 species
UGACGACCAUAGCGAGGUGGAACCACUCCUUCCCAUCCCGAACAGGACCGUGAAACGCCUUUGCGCCGAUGAUAGU